rnacentral:ncRNA from 2 species
GGGUCCCGGAAUUACAAUCCGGGAGGAUUUUGAAUAGUCGGGCCGCUAUUC